GGGGGGGGGGGGGGGGGGGGGCGUGCGGGGGGGGAGGGGCACCCACGGGGCGGGCAGGGGGGGCCCGGUGGGGUCUGGGAGGGAAACUGGUCCCAGUGCGGUGGGAAACUGGUUCCAGUAGGGCAGGAACUGGUUCCCAGCUGAGGCUUCUAGUGGGGCAGGAACUGGUUCCCAGUAGGAGUUAUGGGACAGGAACUGGUCCCAGUUGAGGCGGGAACUGGUUCCCAGUAGGAGUUAUGGGGCAGGAACUGGUUCCCAGUAGGAGUUAUGGGGCAGGAACUGGUCCCAGUUGAGGCGGGAACUGGUUCCCAGUAGGGUUAUGGGGCAGGAACUGGUUCCCAGUGGGAGUUAUGGGGUGGGAACUGGUCCCAGUGAGGCUUCCAGUGGGGCAGGAAUUGGUUCCCAGUGGAGUUACAGGACAGGAACUGGUCCCAGUUCAGGCAGGAACUGGUUCCCAGUGGGGUUGUGGGACAGGAACUGGUCCCCAGUUGAGUCAAUGGGAUCCCCCACGGCCUGGCUGGGGAGGGUCAGUGGCCAUGGGGGGGGGUCAGUGGCCGGGGGGGGGGGGGGGGGGGGGGGGGGGGGGGGGGGGGGGGGGGGGGGGGGGGGGGGGGGGGGGGGGGGGGGGGGGGGGGGG
rnacentral:lncRNA from 12 species